GGGGGAGAUAGGAGAGGAGGUAGGAGGGGGAGGAGAGGAAGUAUGAGGGGAGGAGAAGAGGAGGUAUGAGGAGGUAGGAGGAGAGGAGGCAGGAGGAGAGGAGGUAUGAGGAGAGGAGGUAGGAGGUAUGAGGAGAGGAGGUAGGAGGUAUGAGGAGAGGAGGUAGGAGGUAUGAGGAGAGGAGGUAGGAGGUAGGAGGGGGAGGAGAGGAGGCAGGGUGCUGAAAGGGUGGGGGGGCUGCUGACGGACAUGAUAGGCUACAUUACUUGAUGGACCAUUUCAAAUUGUCUAGCUAAUAACAGAUCACGUCAAUAUGGCUAGUUAUGAAGCU
ensembl:lncRNA